GGGCCGUUAGCUCAACUGGCAGAGCAGCGGACUUUUAAUCCGCGGGUUCUGGGUUCGAUCCCCAGGCGGCCCACCG
rnacentral:tRNA from 1 species